rnacentral:rRNA from 1 species
CGCCGCGUGCGGGAUGACGGCCUUCGGGUUGUAAACCGCUUUUGACAGGGACGAAGCAACAAGAAAACUGUACCUGUAGAAUAAGGACCGCCCAACUACGUGCCAGCAGCCGCGGUAAUACGUAGGGUCCGAGCGUUGUCCGGAAUUACUGGGCGUAAAGAGCUUGUAGGCGGUUCGUCGCGUCGUUUGUGAAAACUUGGGGCUCAACCCCAAGCUUGCAGGCGAUACGGGCGGACUAGAGUACUUCAGGGGAGACUGGAAUUCCUGGUGUAGCGGUGAAAUGCGCAGAUAUCAAGAGGAACACCGGUGGCGAAGGCGGGUCUCUGGGAAGUAACUGACGCUGAGAAGCGAAAGCAUGGGUU